rnacentral:rRNA from 1 species
GAUGAACGCUGGCGGCGUGCCUAAUACAUGCAAGUCGAGCGAACAGAUAAGGAGCUUGCUCCUUUGACGUUAGCGGCGGACGGGUGAGUAACACGUGGGUAACCUACCUAUAAGACUGGGAUAACUUCGGGAAACCGGAGCCAAUACCGGAUAACAUUUGGAACCGCAUGGUUCUAAAGUGAAAGAUGGUUUUGCUAUCACUUAUAGAUGGACCCGCGCCGUAUUAGCUAGUUGGUAAGGUAACGGCUUACCAAGGCGACGAUACGUAGCCGACCUGAGAGGGUGAUCGGCCACACUGGAACUGAGACACGGUCCAGACUCCUACGGGAGGCAGCAGUAGGGAAUCUUCCGCAAUGGGCGAAAGCCUGACGGAGCAACGCCGCGUGAGUGAUGAAGGGUUUCGGCUCGUAAAACUCUGUUAUUAGGGAAGAACAAACGUGUAAGUAACUGUGCACGUCUUGACGGUACCUAAUCAGAAAGCCACGGCUAACUACGUG